rnacentral:rRNA from 1 species
AGGACGAACGCUGGCGGCGUGCUUAACACAUGCAAGUCGAACGAGGUGCUUGCACCUAGUGGCGAACGGGUGAGUAACACGUGAGCAACCUGCCUUUGGCUCUGGGAUAGCCUCCGGAAACGGGGAUUAAUACCGGACAUGACCUGUGACGGCAUCUUCACGGGUGGAAAGUUUUUCGGCCAAAGAGGGGCUCGCGGCCUAUCAGCUUGUUGGAGGGGUAACGGCCCACCAAGGCGACGACGGGUAG